rnacentral:rRNA from 1 species
CAGCCGCCACGGGAAAACCGAGGGUGCAAGCGUUAAUCGGAAUUACUGGGCGUAAAGCGCGCGUAGGUGGUUUGUUAAGUUGGAUGUGAAAUCCCCGGGCUCAACCUGGGAACUGCAUUCAAAACUGACUGACUAGAGUAUGGUAGAGGGUGGUGGAAUUUCCUGUGUAGCGGUGAAAUGCGUAGAUAUAGGAAGGAACACCAGUGGCGAAGGCGACCACCUGGACUAAUACUGACACUGAGGUGCGAAAGCGUGGGGAGCAAACAGGAUUAGAUACCCGAGUAGUCCCUGUCUCUUAUAC